GACGAACGCUGGCGGCGUGCUUAACACAUGCAAGUCGAACGGUGAAGCGCCUUCCUUUUUGGUGGGUGUGGAUGAGUGGCGAACGGGUGAGUAACACGUGAGUAACCUGCCCCCUUCUUCUGGAUAACCGCAUGAAAGUGUGGCUAAUACGGGAUAUUCUGGGUCUGUCGCAUGAUGGGUCUGGGAAAGAUAUUGUUUCGGUGGGGGAUGGGCUCGCGGCCUAUCAGCUUGUUGGUGGGGUGAUGGCCUACCAAGGCGGUGACGGGUAGCCGGCCUGAGAGGGUGGACGGCCACACUGGGGCUGAGACACGGCCCAGACUCCUACGGGAGGCAGCAGUGGAGAAUAUUGAACAAUGGGCGCAAGCCUGAUGCAGCGACGCCGCGUGAGGGAUGGAGGCCUUCGGGCUGUGAACCUCUUUCGCCAGUGAAGCAGGCCUGCCUCGUUUGUGGGUGGGUUGACGGUAGCUGGAUAAGAAGCGCCGGCUAACUACGUG
rnacentral:rRNA from 1 species